AAAUAAGAAGCAAUUCACAAAUGCAUUUAAUUUCGACUUAAAAGAUAGAGUAAAAAACUCCUUAUUUA
rnacentral:tRNA from 1 species